GAUGAACGCUGGCGGCGUGCCUAAUACAUGCAAGUCGAGCGAACGGACGAGAAGCUUGCUUCUCUGACGUUAGCGGCGGACGGGUGAGUAACAUGUGUAUAACCUACCUAUAAGACUGGGAUAACUUCGGGAAACCGGAGCUUAUACCGGAUAAUAUUUUGAACCGCAUGGUUCAAAAGUGAAAGACGGUCUUGCUGUCACUUAUAGAUGGAUCCCGGCUGCAUUAGCUAGUUGGUAAGGUAACGGCCUACCAAGGCAACGAUGCAUAGCCGACCUGAGAGGGGGAUCGGCCACCCUGGAACUUGGACACGGUCCCGGCUCCUACGGGAGGGAGCAGUAGGGAAUCGUCCGCAAUGGGCGGAAGCCUGACGGAGUGAGGCCGCGUGUGUGAUGGAGGUCUUCGGAUCGUAAAACCCUGUUUUUGGGGAAGAACAGAUUUGGAAGUAGCUGUGCACAUCUUGACGGUACCUGAUCAGAAAGCCACGGCUAACUACGUG
rnacentral:rRNA from 1 species